rfam:Populus trichocarpa scaffold_17_contig_220, whole genome shotgun sequence.
UCUAGAACUCAAGAUAUGGGCUGAACACUGAACAGUGUCUGGGCUGCAGGACAAAUUCGGACUUCUUCGUUGUUGCUAUAAUUUAGACUUGAAAACGACCUUGUUAAAUCUUAGACUCCUCAUGAAAGUUGUAGGCCUAUGUCUUACCUUUCCAUC